rnacentral:rRNA from 1 species
UAGGGAAUCUUCCACAAUGGACGAAAGUCUGAUGGAGCAACGCCGCGUGAGUGAUGAAGGGUUUCGGCUCGUAAAACUCUGUUGUUGGAGAAGAACGGGUGUCAGAGUAACUGUUGACAUCGUGACGGUAUCCAACCAGAAAGCCACGGCUAACUACGUGCCAGCAGCCGCGGUAAUACGUAGGUGGCAAGCGUUGUCCGGAUUUAUUGGGCGUAAAGCGAGCGCAGGCGGUUUUUUAGGUCUGAUGUGAAAGCCUUCGGCUUAACCGGAGAAGUGCAUCGGAAACCGGGAGACUUGAGUGCAGAAGAGGACAGUGGAACUCCAUGUGUAGCGGUGAAAUGCGUAGAUAUAUGGAAGAACACCAGUGGCGAAGGCGGCUGUCUGGUCUGCAACUGACGCUGAGGCUCGAAAGCAUGGGUAGCGAACAGGAUUAGAUACCCUGGUAGUCCAUGCCGUAAACGAUGAGUGCUAAGUGUUGGAGGGUUUCCGCCCUUCAGUGCUGCAGCUAACGCAUUAAGCACUCCGCCUGGGGAGUACGACCGCAAGGUUGAA